GGGUGCGAUCAUACCAGCAUUAAUGCACUGGAUCCCAUCAGAACUCAGCAGUUAAGCACGCUUGGGCUAGAGUAGUACUGGGAUGGGUGACCUCCCGGGAAGUCCUAGUGUUGCACCCU
rnacentral:rRNA from 1 species